rnacentral:rRNA from 1 species
UAACCGCGCCACGAGUUGUAGUCACGAUUAUUGGGUCUAAAGCAUCCGUAGCUGGUUCGACAAGUCUUCGGUGAAAUCCGGCAGCAAACUGUCGGGCGUGCCGAAGAUACUAUCAGACUAGAGACUGGGAGAGGUCUGGGGUACUUCGGAGGUAGGGGUAAAAUCCUUUAAUCUCCGAGGGACCACCUGUGGCGAAGGCGCCAGACUAGAACAGAUCUGACAGUGAGGGAUGAAAGCUAGGGGAGCGAUCGGG